rnacentral:tRNA from 1 species
GCCUGGAUAGCUCAGUUGGUUAAGAGCAUAGUGCUGAUAAUGCCAAGGUUGAAGGUUUGAUCCCCGUAUGGGACA